rnacentral:pre_miRNA from 1 species
UUUACAAUUCGGUCGUUCACCAGGUCAUCUAGCUCCAUGUUGUUAAGCUAGCUGCCUAGUGAAGGGCAACAUUGUACU